CCGGGCGUCGGGAGCCUCGGGAGCGCGCGGGGCCCGGAGCGUAGAGCGCGGGGCCCGGGGAGUAGGGCGCGGGGUCCCGGGAGACGGGCGCCGGGCUGGGGGAGGAGGGAGCGGGGAGGCCCCGGGAGGAGGGCGCGCGCCCCGGCGGUGCUUACAAAGAAGCGCCCCUUCCCGGGGCGCCCGGGAACCGUGCCAGGCUUCCCGGCCUCCUGACCUUGGAGCCGCGCAGAAUUUAUUUAUCUUGGCGGAGGAAGGCGGGGCCUCUGUCAGGGAGACGAAAAUCUUUCCAGGAAGUUUGUACCUAUUAAUACUCGAGUUGCUGGCAGCUGCCUGCAGCCCCGGGGCCGGGGGACAGCCUGGUGUGCUUCCCGGGCCCGUUCUCGUCCGUGGGAGGCUGGGGCGGCGGGACCCGCGUGGGGCGCAAGCUUUCGGGAACGGCGCGCCGUGGGGAGACAGGGGCCCCGGGGCUGCGACAAGAGCGGGGGGCGGCGGAGAGAGCUCCUGGGCCACCAGCUGUGGGCGAUUAGGGGGCGGGGGGCGCAGGAACGGCGGCGCAGGGAGCCCCAGCUAGGAUGGACCGACCGCGUUCCUGGGGCGCCGGCGACAGUGUGGCCCAGAGCCCCGACGAGGUCCGGAAGCCCGUCCUGACCUUGGCGCAGCCACACGGCCGGAGGGCGUUGCAGACCUUAAAAAGCUCGCGUGGUCUUCCCAACCACCUUGAGAGCUCACCGUUAGCUCCGGUCUAAAGAAGUUGAAAAUGGAGUUCAGAGACGUUAAAUAAGCUGCUCCAGGUCACAGCGCCGCUGCCCAAGCGAGGUCCCAGGUUUUUGACAUCUGCCUUGCAAGACAGGGUCCCUCGGAAGGAAAUGCGCCAGAUUUCUUCCCACAGUGUCCACCAACAGAAUCGCCCCCUAAAGGUGGACCACGGAAUCAGAAGGCACCGCGGGGCUGGCGAUCCGGCUGCCCCCCUCUGUCACCGGAGAGAGGCCUGCUCGGGCUUUCAGCCAAUCGCACACCCGGAGCACCGAUCACUUCAACUCGAUUUGUAACUCCCCUCCCGUGCGCGUGUAGGUAGGAUUCGAAGCGGUUGACAUAGGCACUACUGGAGUGUGGGUUCCCGACAAGGACACUUCCAGUGCUAACGAACUGUCUCCUGGUGAGAAGGGAAGUCAUCACAUUGUCUCUUCCCCAGUAUUCCGAAGGAGUCCUGGACACAGGGGAUCCUCCCCCGUCAGGAGUAUCAGCUCCACCUGCGCGGGGACUCUGUCCCACUCCGCGUGGAGGUAGGUCCCUACUCCAGGGCCAAACACGGAAACACUUGGACAAAGGGAAAUUUGUCUCAUGAACCUUCUCACUGUGGUCGCCGGGGUCCCCUCCCCCACCGCCCUCUGACCCCCUCCUCGGCCACUCAUAUUUCUCCCGGCUGGCGGGAGAACCAGAGAGAAGGAGAUGACAGAUUCAGGCGUCUUAAGGGAAAGAAAAGAAAAGGAAAAGAGUUUCACGGAGCUGUAGAAAAGGAGAAAGAAAGUUCUUCCGGACUGAACAGUGGGUUGGUUAGGCAAGGUCACUCUCCUUUAGGGGGUGACAGGGUCUCUCGGGCCGACGACCUCAUCAGUGCUGGUCGGGAGAUUCCUAGCUGACUGGUUUCAGAGUCCAUCACAUCUCUGGGAGGGCUGAAACAGUCAUUCAGACAGAGAUCACAACCAGGCAGAGGCAGGCAGAGAGAGAGGAGGAAGCAGGCUCCCUGCUGAGCAGAAAGCCCGAUGCGGGACUCCAUCUCAGGACCCCAAGAUCAUGACCUGUGCUGAAGGCAGAGGCUUUAACCCACUGAGCCACCCAGGCACCCCUCAGUUUACCCUUUCUGUCUUGGAACUCUCUGUACAUGGAGUUCCAGUAGGUGUGAAAUUAAAUUUGAUUUG